UUUUCAUAAAACAUAGUUUUUCAUCUAUGUUUUUAGAUCACGUUCCUGCUGAGCUGCAUUUGAGCGUCAACAAUCCCCUUAGAGGCCACUGAUUAAGUCUAGUAUGUUCUUAUGGCCUCUGCUUGGUGCUGGUUGUGUUCCAACAAUUCUUCAGAUCCCAUGGUGUUGUGCGGUACUGUGCUGAGAGGUCUUGACUGCCAGGGGCUUGGCUGCCGGGACUAGUUUGAGAGCCACUCAUAGAGUCAAUUGAGAAUGAGACCUGAGAUCAGACUUUGGAUGAAGGUGUCCAAGCCCAGUGUUCUUGUUAUUCCAGCAUCUUGUGGCCCCGAUCCCACCUCAAUACCUGGGGAGUGAUAGGCCGACCAUGUUUGCUGAAGGGGAAGGAAGCCAACACUUAUUAGAUAGAGUCCGAACUUACCCCACAGCCCCUAUGAGGAGGUAUUAUUUCCCCAUUUAACAGAUGAGGGAACUGGUGCUUUGAGAAGUUAACUUACUUGAG
rnacentral:lncRNA from 1 species